rnacentral:lncRNA from 1 species
CCUGAGGAAAGGCUUUUAGGGGUAAACGUAAGGGCUUUGCUUCUAAUGACAUAAAUUGCUGAGUGUGCUGCAGUAGCAAUGCAUUUAGAAUCAAUGGACAGAUAACUGCUAUUUCUAGAAGCUUAUAUGGAGAAUUGUGUCAAUUCCUUGCAACCUUGGAUGGUCUCAGCAUUCAUUAUAGGACAGUCUUUCAGUAAUCACAAAGCGAAUUGUCCCUCUCACAUGCCAUGCAGCAGCUGUUGGCUCCCUUUUGGGGGCCACUGUUGUUCUAAUUGAUUCUUGCUGGAGUGACGGGGCUCAGUUAUGGCUGGAGUGGACGAGCAGACCCAGGGUUAGCCUCAGGGGGUCUUAGCGUAGGCUGAUAGUUGCAAACAUGUACCAAAGAAACCACAAGAAGUGAAUGUUAACUCACUUUUUACAAAUCAUCUCACUCCUGCCCUUUCUUUGUCUCCAUUUUUUCUCACUCUACUGUCCCUUUAUUAUUUUGUCUCUGUUGCCAGAGUGAGCAAAUCAAAGUACAGGACACCCUGUUAAACUUGAAUUUCAAUUAAAUGACAUAUAAUUGUUU